rnacentral:sRNA from 1 species
ACCCCUAUGUGACUGGCUUGGCCAUUGCUGGUGGAAUUCUAUUCAUGGGCCUAGAAGGUGCCAUCAUUGGGCCCAUCAUCUUGUGUUGUCUCAUCGUUGUGGUCAAUAUGUAUGGUAACAUGCUGCAGAGCUACCCUUCAACACCAGCCCCAGUCAUGUGGUCUAAGCGACUGAGGUCCGUAAGUUCCGAUUCUCUUCAUGUCCACUAACUCUUGUGACAGCCUAGAUUACUUCCCUUCCAAACCUUCAACUAGUCCUGGACAGACCUAGUCAUCUUUCUCCCAGCUGUCACACGGCUCAUCCCUGCGUAGGCUCAGUCUCCCAGCGCUACAGAGUAUACAAGUCAUGCCGAUGCUAAAUGAAUCUCAAUAUUUAGGACAAACUCAGUAUUUAGGACAAACAUGUGUAUUAGAUUGAAUAAUUGCAUAAUUUCAUUAUAGUUUGUUUUGUUUUAGAAACCUUGAAAAGAUUAUGGUUAGGAAUUGCGAGAAG